rnacentral:rRNA from 1 species
UGGAGGUUGUGCCCUUGAGGCGUGGCUUCCGGAGCUAACGCGUUAAGUCGACCGCCUGGGGAGUACGGCCGCAAGGUUAAAACUCAAAUGAAUUGACGGGGGCCCGCACAAGCGGUGGAGCAUGUGGUUUAAUUCGAUGCAACGCGAAGAACCUUACCUGGUCUUGACAUCCACAGAACUUUCCAGAGAUGGAUUGGUGCCUUCGGGAACUGUGAGACAGGUGCUGCAUGGCUGUCGUCAGCUCGUGUUGUGAAAUGUUGGGUUAAGUCCCGCAACGAGCGCAACCCUUAUCCUUUGUUGCCAGCGGUCCGGCCGGGAACUCAAAGGAGACUGCCAGUGAUAAACUGGAGGAAGGUGGGGAUGACGUCAAGUCAUCAUGGCCCUU